rnacentral:rRNA from 1 species
GAUCAUGGCUCAGGAUGAACGCUAGCUACAGGCUUAACACAUGCAAGUCGAGGGGCAGCAUUUCAGUUUGCUUGCAAACUGGAGAUGGCGACCGGCGCACGGGUGAGUAACACGUAUCCAACCUGCCGAUAACUCGGGGAUAGCCUUUCGAAAGAAAGAUUAAUACCCGAUGGUAUAAUUAGACCGCAUGGUCUUGUUAUUAAAGAAUUUCGGUUAUCGAUGGGGAUGCGUUCAUUAGG